rnacentral:tRNA from 1 species
GGUAAAGUGGCCGAGUAGGUGGCGGAUUGUAGCCCCGAAGACGGAGGAUAAGCCCUCCCUUUACCA